GUACUCGCUCCUACGGUACAUAUCGUAAAACUGGAACGACACAUACAAAAUUAGCAUGGCCCUUGCGAAAGAAAAACACACAAAAUAAUGAAGCCAUAGUUAAUUUA